UUGUUCAGGGUGCUCAUGCGAGUUGCAAAGAUAAUAGAGGGGGCACAUGGAGAGGUUUUUGUGGACCAGAGUGGUGGAGAGAUAGGUAUCACUUAGACAAGUGAAAGGUUUGUUGUCAGUCCAAGAGUUCAUGGGGAUUAGGUAUUAGGAAUCUUAGGUAAAAAACAUAUCUCUAUUGGCUAAAUGGAUUUGGCACUUUAUCUAUGGGACAAACUGUGCCGGAAGGUGAUGAAUGGUGUUCAGUUGGAUGGUAGGGACGGCUGGGAUGCCAGAACAGGAAGAUCUAUAUCCUGUAGCAGUCCCUAGAAAGCUAUCUCCGAAGUUUAUGCACUAUUCCUUCCCUUAACCAGAUUACAAGUGGAAGAUGGCUCUAAAGCCAUGUUUUAGGAAGGCACAUGGGUAGGGUGGCAACUGUUGGCCACACAUUUUCCCUGACUGUUACAUUAUCCUUUAGUCCCAAUGCAUCUGUUUCAUACUUCAUAUCCAUAUCAGAAGGAAGAGUUGCAUGGAACCUCUACUUUAAAUGUAACCUAACCGAAAGGGAGGCUUCUGAAAUGCAAAUCUUAUCAACCCUGCUAGAGCCAAUUCAGAUUGCAAAUCAACCAGACACCAAAGUUUGGACCCUAGAACCCUCAGGCUUAUACUCUUGCAAGUCCUUCGAUCACCUAAAAAAAUACAAUAUCUAGCCAUUUCCCUAUUGCAGUAUUUACGUGGAUAGCUAUCCAUCAAAAGCUUAACAUCAAUAAGAUGUUAAAAGUCUGUAGGCCUCUGGCACUGUCCCCGAAUAUCUGUGUUAUGUGCUGUAAGGAGAGAGAUGCACAUCUUUUCUUUCAUUGUAAGAAUUGAAGUUGUGGGCCAAACUCAUUGAUCUAUUUGGUCUUUAUUGGUUUGUCCCUACGACAGUUGAGAGAAACGGAAGGGUGCAAAGUUCCCAUGGCAAGGGGUGAUAUUUGCAGGAUUAUGUGUGAUUUGGCUGGAAAUAAACAGCAGAAUUUUUUAUGACCGAUGUUCUUCUUUCCAGGAGUUGUGGGAUAGGGUUACAUUUUUUUCUAUAUUAUGGAAGAAAAGUCGCAGGAAAUAUUCUGAGAUAGCCAUCUCAGAGCUUCACCUGGAUUUCUGAACUCUUUGUUUCUAUUUCUUAGAGUAUUUUCGUUCAUGUUUUUUUUUCUAAUGCAUCUGAUACAAUUCUUUGGGGGAUCUCUUGUUCUCUGCAUUUACUUUUCUCUCUUAUUCUAAUAAAGCUUUCUUUCGAUUAAAAAAAUUAAUGCACUUCUGUUUGCUAUAUUACUUGAUAAGAUGUGUUAUUCUAAAGAAUAUUGUUUCCUGAGGAAACACAACCACCUAGGCUACCCAUGCUCUAGGUUGGUAGCCUUUCCAUUGGCACUAAUUACAGCCAAGCAAGGAUAAUCUAAAACUCACAAGGAAGAGAUCAAGAGUUUCUAAAUCCUAAUGAAACUUUAAAUCUCCUAAAUCUAGUUAAACUUACCUAGCGUAAACAAUUUAAAAACAUGCAAAACACUAAGUUUCAUACCUAUUCUAAAAACAUUUAAUGAUCUUUCAGUUUGACUUAUUCUGAUUGCACAACAAGUACUCUGUAAAGUUCAAAACAAAACAAAUGCUUCUAUUUGUUCUUAUAGUAAUGUUUUCUCCAAUAUCCUUUUCAAGUGGAUGAUAAAGUAAAGAGUUUCUUUGGAGCUGCAGGUGUCUUACAUAUUUGCGGAGUCCCCAUUUAGGGUUUUUUCAGAUGCUGUUAAAAGUGGAGGAAUUAUCAAAGCAUUAUGUGUACCUUCUGGUGCUAAAAGUUAUUCAAACACAGCUCUCAAGAAAGGUGAUAUUUACAAUGAGGCAAUCAAGUCUGGUGCAAAGGGUUUGCCUUUCCUGAAGGUGUUGGAUGAUGGUGAAGUUGAGGGAAUUCAGGCACUAGUUACUAGUAUGAAUCCAACAAAUAAAAUAGACUUAUUGAGACAAUGUGCAGCAGGGCCAGGUGAUCUUAUACUGUUUGGCGUGGGCCCUCAUGUAUCAGUGAAUAAAACUCUAGAUCGACUUAGGUUAUUUGUAGCCCAUGAACUUGGUUUGAUUGAUGAUACCAGGGAUUCAAUUCUAUGGGUGACCGACUUCCCAAUGUUUGAGUGGAAUGAUUCAGAGCAGAGGCUUGAGG